AGAUUGAACGCUGGCGGCAGGCCUAACACNUGCAAGUCGGGCGGUAGAAGGAUGNUGCUUCUCUUGGAGCGGCGAACGGGUGAGUAAUGCCUNGAAUCUGCCUGGUAGUGGGGGAUAACGUUCGAAAACGAACGCUAAUACCGCAUACGUCCUACGGGAGAAAAGCAGGGGACCUUCGGGCCCUGGCGCUAUCAGAUGAGCCUAGGUCGGAUUAGCUAGUUGGUGAGGUAAUGGCUCACCAAGGCGACGAUCCGUAACUGGUCUGAGAGGAUGAUCAGUCACACUGGAACUGAGACACGGUCCAGACUCCUACGGGAGGCAGCAGUGGGGAAUAUUGGACAAUGGGCGAAAGCCUGAUCCAGCCAUGCCGCGUGUGUGAAGAAGGUCUUCGGAUUGUAAAGCACUUUAAGUUGGGAGGAAGGGCAUUAACCUAAUACGUUAGUGUUUUGACGUUACCGACAGAAUAAGCACCGGCUAACUCUGUGCCAGCAGCCGCGGUAAUACAGAGGGUGCAAGCGUUAAUCGGAAUUACUGGGCGUAAAGCGCGCGUAGGUGGUUUGUUAAGUUGGAUGUGAAAUCCCCGGGCUCAACCUGGGAACUGCAUUCAAAACUGACUGACUAGAGUAUGGUAGAGGGUGGUGGAAUUUCCUGUGUAGCGGUGAAAUGCGUAGAUAUAGGAAGGAACACCAGUGGCGAAGGCGACCACCUGGACUAAUACUGACACUGAGGUGCGAAAGCGUGGGGAGCAAACAGGAUUAGAUACCCUGGUAGUCCACGCCGUAAACGAUGUCAACUAGCCGUUGGAAGCCUUGAGCUUUUAGUGGCGCAGCUAACGCAUUAAGUUGACU
rnacentral:rRNA from 1 species